CAGCAAGUUCCCUCGUGUGAAACUGCCCCUUUCUAAGGGGCAGGUUGCAUGUCUGUAACUUCUUUCUUGUUAUUUCUUUUAACUCUUCUAUGACAUAGGGACAUGGAUUAGUGAGGGAAAGCAGCAUAGCAGUGCCUUAUGAAAAUCCAGUUCUUCUUCUAGUCUAUGCGAAUAGCCGAAAAGCCAGCAGGGACCCAGAGGCCGCGGAGCCGGACCGCAGAGUGGAGGCCAGGCCGGUGGGCAGGAGGAGGUGGGAACACCGAAGGCCGCCAGGACUGAAUCCGCUUCUCUAAUGAAAGGGCCCUUUUUUCCAGGGGAUUAUAAGAAUAUUCAUGACCCUUGAGAUCAGCAGACUGGAUUACAGAGGACAUCGGGCAAUCUUAAUCAGCAGUCUGGAGAUUCAUGACCCCUCUCCACAGCCUGACUCCAGGGUACACGGGUAAGAUAAUAGUGACAACAGCCAUGAAACGAAGGGGGCUGGUUUUCCAUGACCCCACACAUUCUGCCUAAGGCCACGCACCUCCCAAAGGCCACGAUGGAUGAGCAGGCGGGCCUGGGCACUCAGGUUUUUCUGGCUCACAGGUAGAAGUGACUUGCCUUGUCUUAGAUGAGACUUUGGACUUUGAACUUUUGAGUUAAUGCUGGAAUGAGUUAAGACUUUGGGGAACUAUUGGGAAGGCAUAAUUGUAUUUUGUAAUGUGAGAAGGACAUGAGAUUUGGGAGAGGCCAGGGGUGGAAUGUUAGAGUUUGAAUAUUUGUCCCCACCCAAAUCUCAUAUUGAAUUGUAAUCCCCAAUGCUGAAGGUGGGGCCUGGUGGGAGAUAGUUGGGUCAUAGGGGCAGAUCCCUCAUGGCAUGGUGUUGUCUUUGAGACAAUGAGUGAGUUCUCAUGAGAUCUGGUCAUCUAAAAGUGUGUGGCACCUCCCUCCCCACUCCCACUCUCUCUUGCUCCUGCGUUUGCCAUGUGAUGCUCCUGCUCCUG
rnacentral:lncRNA from 1 species